GUUGGCAACAGAAGUUUAGAAAGACUAUGUGAGGGGAUGAUUCCAUGUCCACACAUACCAAUGAUUGGAGUUCUUUCUAAAUGAGCGGUUUUGGCCUUUACUUUAG